CCCGAAACCAAGCAAGCUACCCAAGGAUAGCUAAAAGAGCACACCUGUCUGUGGCAAAAUAGUGGGAAAAUCUAUGGGUAGUGGUGAGAAACCUACCGAGCCUGGUGAAGCUGG
rnacentral:ncRNA from 1 species